AUGUAGUUUUGCCAAACCCUGAGCGAUCAGGGGACGGAAAGUCCACGGAACUUGGGUUCCACUGCCUCUCUCUUUACUACCUCCACUGUUUUCCCCAUCCCAAGUUGGCCGGAUUAUCGGA
rnacentral:ncRNA from 1 species